ensembl:lncRNA
AUGGGGGGGACAGGUCAGUGGGGGGGUCCAGACCCUAAAAAGACCCCAAAACCCCCCCAAAGACCCCAAAAAGACCCCAAAUACCCCAAAAUACCCCCAAAAGACCCCAAAUACCCCAUAAAAUAUGGGAUUUUUACCCUAAAUCCCACAGUUUUCCACCCCAACCCCAUUAAUUCCCCUAUAAAGGCCCCAACCCCACAGCAGCACCCCAUAGCUGGGAAUGGGGGGGGGACAGGUCAAUGUGGGGGGGUCCAGACCCUAAAUAGACCCCAAAGACCCCAAAGACCCCAAAAAGACCCCAAAGACCCCAUAAAAUAUGGGAUUUUUACCCUAAAUCCCACAGUUUUCCACCCCAACCCCAUUAUUUCCCCCAUAAAGGCCCCAACCCCACAGCAGCACCCCAUAGCUGGGAAUGGGGGGGGACAGGACAGUGGGGGGGGGUCCAGACCCCAAAAAGACCCCAAAGACCCCAAAAAGACCCCAAAAAGACCCCAAAUACCCCAUAAAAUAUGGGAUUUUUACCCUAAAUCCCACAGUCUUCCACCCCAACCCCAUUAUUUCCCCCAUAAAGGCACUGGGUCCCAACCCCACAGCAGCACCCCAUAAGUGGGAAUGGGGGGAGACAGGUCAGUGGGGGGGUCCAGACCCCAAAAAGACCCCAAAGACCCCAAAAAUAAGGGAUUUCCACAUAUGACUCCAUAUUCCCCCCAUAUGACUCUGUAUUCCCCCAUAUAACUCCAUAUGACCCCAUAUUCUCCCCCAUAUGACCCCAUAUAACCCCAUAUCACCAUAUAUAACCCUAUAUAACCUCAUAUUCCCCCCAUAUAUCCUCCAUAUUACCCUGUAUAACCCCAUAUGACCACAUAUGCCCCCAUAUAACCACAUAUGACCCCAUAUAGACCAAUAUAACACCAUAUAACGCCCUAUCACCCCAUAUACCCCCAUAUACCCCAAUAUAAACCCCUGUAACCCCAAUUACCCCCCAUAUAACCCCAUAUAACCCCAUAUGACCCUAUAUAACAUCAUAUAUCCCCAUAUACCCCCUAUAUAACCCCAUAUAACCCCAUAUAACCCUAUAUAACCCCAUAUAACCCCAUAUAACCCUAUAUAACCCUAUAUAACCCUAUAUAACCCCAUAUAACCCCAUAUAACCCCAUAUAACCCCAUAUAACCCCAUAUAACCCUAUAUACCCUCCAUAUAACCCUAUAUAACCCCAUAUAACCCCAUAUACCCCCAUAUACCCCCAUAUAACCCCAUAUAACCCCAUAUAACCCUAUAUACCCCAUAUAACCCCAUAUAACCCUAUAUAACCCCAUAUAACCCCAUAUAACCCCAUAUACCACCCAUAUAACCACAUAUAACCCCAUAUAAACACAUAUAACCCCAUAUAACCCCAUAUAACCCCAUAUAACCCCAUAUAACCCCAUAUACCCCCUAUAUAACCCUAUAUAACCCCAUAUAACCCCAUAUAACCCUAUAUAACCCCAUAUAACCCCAUAUAACCCCGUAUAACCCUAUAUAACCCCAUAUAACCCCAUAUAACCCUAUAUAACCCUAUAUAACCCUAUAUAACACCAUAUAACCCUAUAUAACCCUAUAUAACAC